GACGAACGCUGGCGGCGCGCCUAACACAUGCAAGUCGAACGAGCGAGAGAGAGCUUGCUUUCUUGAGCGAGUGGCGAACGGGUGAGUAACGCGUGAGGAACCUGCCUCAAAGAGGGGGACAACAGUUGGAAACGACUGCUAAUACCGCAUAAGCCCACGGUGCCGCAUGGCACAGAGGGAAAAGGAGCAAUCCGCUUUUAGAUGGCCUCGCGUCCGAUUAGCUAGUUGGUGAGGUAACGGCCCACCAAGGCGACGAUCGGUAGCCGGACUGAGAGGUUGAACGGUCACAUUGGGAAUGAGACACGGCCCAGACUCCUACGGGAGGCAGCAGUGGGGAAUAUUGCACAAGGGGGGAAACCCUGAUGCAGCGACGCCGCGUGGAGGAAGAAGGUCUUCGGAUUGUAAACUCCUGUUGUUGGGGAAGAUAAUGACGGUACCCAACAAGGAAGUGACGGCUAACUACGU
rnacentral:rRNA from 1 species